GACGAACGCUGGCGGCGUGCUUAACACAUGCAAGUCGAGCGGAGCGGCGAACGGGGGAGUAAAGCGUGAGUAACUGCCCCCCUCUCUGGGAUAAAAGUUGGAAACGGCUGCUAAUACCGGAGAGUGGGGGGUGACUCGCGUCCUAUCAGCUUGGUGGUGGGGUAGUGGCCUACCAAGGCGACGACGGGUAGCCGGCCUGAGAGGGCGACCGGCCCACUUGGGCUGAGAUACGGCCCAAACUCCUACGGGAGGCAGUAGGGGGGAAUAUUGCACAAUGGGGGCACCCCUGAUGCAGCAACGCCGCGUGCGGGAUGACGGCCUUCGUGUUGUAAACCGCUUUCAGCCAUGACGCGGUAGUGGCAGAAGAAGCACCGGCUAACUACGUGCCAGCAGCCGCGGUAAUAC
rnacentral:rRNA from 1 species